UUGAAAUUUUAAAUUAAAUUUAGCUAGAAGUCUUUAAGUUCCAACUAAUGGCUAAUGUUUGUAGUAGGUGCCUUUCAGUAGAAUUUGAGGGUGGUGGGAAAACCUGGCAUUUGAAGCUUCCAACAUUCUGAGACUGAGGAGGAAUAAUCAAGAUUAACAGAGUAGAACCCUCUUAAAUAAUACCAUUGGGACUUGUAAUUGGGCAGUUAACUGAAAAAGUCGGUUAUAGCUGGGACUAAUAAAAUGUUAAGACUUAAGCAUUUUACUUUCUUUAAAACGUAAAACUGCAUUUAUUCACCAAUCCUUAGAUGUAAAGCUGCCAAGAUCUUUUCUUCGAGUUUAGAUUGUUGAAUGGUGUUCUCAGAGCUCUCACAAAAAUCACACCCUUGAUGCAUGAUGUAUGAUUUCCCAUUUUGAUUUCUUUGGAGAAAGAAACUGAAGACAUUUUGAAACAAUUUAAAUGUAGAAUACUUUUAAAUAUUGACAGUUGUUCCAAUCUUUUUCAAUGUCUCAUCCACAAGUUAAUUUUUAGUGACCUCUUUAUUGAGUCCUUUUGAAGCAUUCAGCUUAGUUUGUUGCUGUUUUUAUAGGCUACAGUUCUUUUGCUGCACUCAUAUUUUAUCAGUUUAUAUGUAGUUAAUUAGAUUGUGUAAUAAAAGUAACAAAUAAAACAGGCAUAAACAGUAUUGGAAACAAACACAAUUUAUCUUUAGUAAGCUUCUACUUAACUAGAGGAAAGAGUAUCUGGCCAUACUAGAGAAUAGAUUAUUAGCCAUGAACCUUCAGCAAGGUGGAUAUGUCAUGUUUUUAAAGAGCAAAUGGGCCGGGCACAGUGGCUCAUGCCUGUAAUCCCAGCACUUUGGGAGUCCGAGGCUGGUGGAUCACCUGAGGUCAUAAGUUCAAGACCAGCCAGACCAAUAGGGUGAACCCUGUCUCUACUAAAAAUACCAAAAUUAGCCAGACGUGGUGACAGGUGCCUGUAGUCCCAGUUACUGGCGAGGCUGAGACAGAAGAAUUGCUUGAACCCAGGAGGCGGAGGUUGCAGUGACCUGAUAUCACGCCACUGCACUCCAGCCUGGGUGACAGAGCGAGACUCCAUCUCAAAAAAAAAAAAAAGAGCAAAUAGUGCUGGGUGAUAGAAUGAAUCACCUAUGUGGAGACUGUUUAAGAUAAUUUUUACUGUACAUUAAGAUUAAAGGAGAUCAGCAAACUGCACACUGGCAGAACUAGGUGACAAGUAGUCACGUAGUUUUCUUGGCUGUUAACACCUGGGUUGUUUUCAGGAGUGUAUAUCAUAUUUAACUAUUUUUUAUUGUUAUUAGGAUGUUGAAGGGAAAAUCCAUUUUUAUCUACCAAUACCUGUUUGCAUUGUUGGAACAUGGCUUGGGUUAAGACUGAAUUUAGCCAUCCAAAAUUGCUUUUUAGUGUGUGCUUAACUGUGAAUACUAAUGAUAUGUCCCUUGCUAAUAAGUAAGUAAUAUUUUAUUCUCUCUUUUUAAAAUAAGGCUUACCUAAAACAGAUCUUAAAUCUACUUGUAUUUCCAAAGUAUUUUGAGAAUUCCAUUUGACAGCAAAAUUUAAACCAAUAAACACAUUUACACUGCUUUUUCUUAAUAUAAGUCAUUUUUAACCUCUUCCUUCAGCGGUUAUGGGAUAUUGCAGUAAAAUGCUGAGAUCACCUCUCUGUGUUCUCCAAAUACCCUGCUUCCUGGCCAUGCACACUGCCUAAGGGUUCAAUAAGCAGGUUAAUUCUUCCUUCAGGGUUGGCCUGAGGGUUAAGGUUCCUGAUGAGCCAAGUUGAGCUUACAAGUAGGAAGAAAGUGGGCGGAUAAAGUGUACAUGAAUGAUGGGGGAGAAAAACCACUCCCAUGCAGCUGAGGUCACACAGUGAUCUCUAUUCUAUUUUACAUGUUUUAUGCGUUUCUAUUUUCUUGUUGAUGCUUUGUUUUCAGCUUAUCUUAUAACUCUAUUAUAACACAGCUCUUUCAACAUCUGACAAAGGAUUGUUAGGAAAACAUUUUCCAGUGUUUUCAUCCAGCUGCUUUGGUGAAAGUUUUGGAUUCUGUUCUUUUUUGCUUUUUUGUUUAUCCU
rnacentral:lncRNA from 10 species